UACGAUAAAGGCAAACUGCGGGUGACCGCAGGACGCAAAGUAAAGGGUCUUGUACUUACAGGGACGUAUGUAAGACAGCCUUACUGCCGAAA
rfam:Candidatus Brocadia caroliniensis isolate 26THWARD NODE_8_length_59982_cov_18.9749_ID_15, whole genome shotgun sequence.